rnacentral:rRNA from 1 species
GUAAUAUAUAGUGGUGAACAUUAAUUUAUUCUCUCCCAUACCCCAUAGCCGUUUAGACAAAAGAUUUUGGCGUAUGAGUUAACCGCUCGUCAAGAAUGGAACUUUUGUCUUAAAGCGGGGUGAGAUCUUCUCCUUGGAUCAGUCUGUUGGGGAUUCAGCUAAUAAAAUGCGAGGCCCCCGAGUGGCUGGGUAAUGACAACGGGGAACUACGGUCAACAUAGAAGAUGACAAUGAACUUUCUGAUCGUGGGGGUGGGCAGGCCGUUUAAUUGGGGAGGAUUGUCGGGUAAUCCGAAACGACGAGCCUUAACCGUAAUUAGUCGUCCCCAUUUAAGGGAUAUGACUUUUUAGAGGGACUAUGCAUAUCAAUGCAUGGAAGUUGAGGCAAAUACCAGGUCAGUGAUGCCCUUAUAUGUCCUGGGCUGCACGCGUGCUACAAUGAUGCGUGGGGGCGAGUGCCUAGCUAGACAUAGUAUGGCAAUCUGGAAUUGCGUCCGCGGGGGUAGGUCUUUGCAAUUAUAGAUCUUGAACGAGGAAUUCCUAGUAAGUGCAAGUCAUCAUCUUGCAAAGGUUAUGUCCCUGCCCUUUGUACACACCGCCCGUCGCUCCUACCGAUACCGGGUGAUCCGGUGAACCUUUUGGACCUCGCAAGAGGAAAAAUAAGUAAACCAUAUCACCUAGAGGAAGGAGAAGUUGAACAAAAUUCCGUAGGUGAACCUCAGUAGGAUCAUUUUCUUCCCUUUCUUUACUCAGAUCAACCUCUUGUUUCGAGCUCUU